AAAUAAAAUAAAAGAAGCCCAACCCAACCACUUCACUCUCUUCUAUUCCACGUUCAUUUUUUAAUCUACCUUCGUCCCUGUCACCGAGUCUUCUGUUUGUUCCUCAACUUGGUUUUGGUUUCAUUCACUUGAACUGUCCAUCAAUCCCUAUGGAAACAAGUAAUUCUGCACCCAACAUGCCACGCUCCUCCUUCCGCUCUUUCCGCUGCUCCUGUUUCCGACGCUGCUGUCGCUGUUUUUGCUGUUUCUACUCCUUCCCUUAAAAUCCAUUAACGGUUACGGUUUGGGUUAUUCAUCGUUCUCACCACACCUUCUUCUUCCCCCUUUUCUUUUCUUCCAUCGCUGCACUCCAAGCGUUUCUUUUUUGCUUCUUCCUCAAACCAGCCACGUCAUCAAUAUCAUCGCGAGCGUAAAACAGAGACAGUUCAAGGAAGAUGCUAGUUCAUUUGAUUCCACAGAACUCUACAAGGCCCAAGGGGUGGAAGCAUAUUUUACAGAAGAGGGGUGCAACCCAAUGCAUGAUUCCAAGCCAUGGAGAAGAUAAUAGUUAUGAUUUUGAGGAAAAGAUAAGGUAUUCUUGCAAUGACAUCAAGAGGCUGUUUAGAAGAUGAUUUCAAGACAACUGCUGAUUUUCAUUUUAGGGCUGCUUGGAUGGCCUGCGCUGAUUUUCUCUGGGGUCUUCAGAAUAAUGAAGAUACUAAUGUCUAAGAAAUCAAGUUGAGACAUGCUAGUUUGCAAUGCCAGAAUUCAAUAUUUGAUUUGAACUUGUAAAGUCAGAUGCCUCCGUACAUCCCUUUUGUAAACACGAUACUUCUGUGUUUACGACAUUCUGUAUCAAUCUAUUUAGAUGUUCCUUGAUCAUAUCUGCACAAAGGUUUCUCUUGUAAAUUAUACAUGCAAAUAGAAUUUUGAGAUCAUAUUGCCAUGGCGAUACAUCAGAGUACAGUCUGCUUAAUGUUGAGUUUGAUAUUGUACCAAGGUUUCCCUCUCCCCAUCGAAUUUUUGUGGCUUUGUCUCUGAAGAAACUUCAGUAUGUACACAUGACACUGCAAAAACUGCUAGUAGUACAUGGAGGGCUCGCCUUUCAGUGCUCAUCUUUAUACGUCAUUUCAAGUGUGCAUGAGAUUAUUUUUUAUUUAUUUAUUUUAAUUUUUGAUAAAGUAUAUGAGAUUAGUUUAUAGCUAUGUACUGAUAUACUGUUCUCUGCUUAUUGCUGAACUGGGGUCUUUGCUUGUGGUAUGGAUGAAUUAAAUUUUGAGAGCAGCACUAUUUGAUUCUACGCAAUAAGCUGUCACUAAUUGUACAUUAACGAUGAUGAUACUUCUAGUUUUCAUGCGGGGGAAUUGUUCACCUUAUUGCAGCCGUUGCUUAAUUAGAGGGAACACCAUUUGUGCCGGUUAGGCAUCAAGCAUAUUGGACUUUUACCCCUUUUUUAUCUGCAUUGUGUGCUCUUUCAGUGUUAUUUUGUUGUUUCAUUUUAAGCAGCACUCGUAUGAACCCUUGUAAGGGGGCAAGUUAUGAAUUUCCGGGAGAAGCAAAAAGUACGGCAUACUGUUAGAAAUGAGAAAGUGACUGCUGAAAUUUUGUGAUAUAUUAAACAUCCCAACACCCCGAAAAAGGGAAGUUGAAGAAUUUUGAAACACAAUUCUGAGAGGAAAGACGUGUCAUGCUCUGGUGAUAAUUUUUCAUCAUCAUCUCCAUUGCUUUCCAGGUGAAUCGAAUCAGACAAAGGCUUCCUAGGAGCAAAAGAAGUAUGCUUUUGGCGUUAAAGCAGUUCAGGAAUCUCAAGAGUGCUCCCUACAGUCUUAAGCUUUUCUUUCUAUUAUUUCAGGGUAGAAUGAUUAAUCAUUACUAUAACAACUCACGAGAGCAUUCUUUCAAAUUCAAUGCUGUGGAGAAAAAUCAGUCACCGCUAAAGAAAAGUGAUUUAAAAUUGAUCUGACAUCUUUACUUUCUUUGGUCAUUUGAGUUUGCCUUUCCUUUUCUAUUGGGCUCUUUCCACAUUUGUUUUAGUGUGGCUAAUGCCUUGUGUUUGUCUUAUCCCCUGGCUGUAAUAGAGGAGGAAGCACAAAAUUUGACUUACGUACAAAACAAUAAAUCUAUUGUCAUUAUUU